rnacentral:rRNA from 1 species
AUUGAACGCUGGCGGAAUGCUUUACACAUGCAAGUCGAGCGGCAGCACGGGGGCAACCCUGGUGGCGAGCGGCGAACGGGUGAGUAAUACAUCGGAACAUGCCCAGUCGUGGGGGAUAACACUUAGAAAGAAGUGCUAAUACCGCAUACGUCCUGAGGGAGAAAGCGGGGGAUCGCAAGACCUCGCGCGAUUGGAGUGGCAGAUGUCAGAUUAGCUAGUUGGUGGGGUAAAGGCCUACCAAGGCAACGAUCGGUAGCUGGUCUGAGAGGAUGAUCAGCCACACUGGGACUGAGACACGGCCCAGACUCCUACGGGAGGCAGCAGUGGGGAAUUUUGGACAAUGGGGGCAACCCUGAUCCAGCCAUUCCGCGUGAGUGAAGAAGGCCUUCGGGUUGUAAAGCUCUUUCGGCAGGAACGAAACGGUGAGCUCUAACAUAGCUUGCUAAUGACGGUACCUGAAGAAGAAGCACCGGCUAACUACGUGCCAGCAGCCGCAGUAAUAC